rnacentral:rRNA from 1 species
CAGUAGCCGCGGGAAUACGGAGGGUGCAAGCGUUAAUCGGAAUUACUGGGCGUAAAGCGCACGCAGGCGGUCUGACAAGUCAGAUGUGAAAUCCCCGGGCUUAACCUGGGAACUGCAUUUGAAACUGUCAGGCUGGAGUCUUGUAGAGGGGGGUAGAAUUCCAGGUGUAGCGGUGAAAUGCGUAGAGAUCUGGAGGAAUACCGGUGGCGAAGGCGGCCCCCUGGACAAAGACUGACGCUCAGGUGCGAAAGCGUGGGGAGCAAACAGGAUUAGAUACCCCUGUAGUCCCUGUCUCUUAUAU